GCAAGUCGAACGGCGGCACGGGUGCUUGCACCUGGUGGCGAGUGGCGAACGGGUGAGUAAUACAUCGAAACGUGCCUAGUAGUGGUGGAUAACUCAUCGAAAGAUGGGCUAAUACAGCAUAACCUCUGAGGAGAAAAGAUGGGGACCCUGUGAUGGGGCCUGUUGCUACAUGAGCGGCCGAUGUUCGAUUAGCUAGUUGGUGGGAUAAGAGCUUACCAAGGCGAUGAUCGAUAGCUGUUCUGAGAGGAAGAUC
rnacentral:rRNA from 1 species